AUCUCAGCUGAGUGUCGUCCAAGUGUCAGUAGUGCUUUUCGCUACAUAAAUUACUCUACGGCUAUUUGAGCAAUACCAUAACGGUAACAGCAACAACACUAAAAUGGAGCACACAAAAACAAUAAAACACCGUAAGCUCAAAUACGCAGAAGUAUAGCAAGAGUACCGUACAAGAGCAAAAACAAAAACAAACGUAAGCCCACGACAUAAUCAUGCGGGAGACAUUGGUCUCAAAAUAAGUUGUAAAGAGAAAUAACGGUUCGUUUAAGUGGAAGGAACUGUUGCUCAGAUGAUUGUUGCUGAGGUUACACUGGCCAGUGUUAACUUUAAAGCAAAAUAUACAUUUAACAUAUAUACAUAUCUUCUCCAAGUCUCGGUUAAAUGAUUUUAAAAAAAUUAGAAGAAUUAAGAAUUUUUUGAAAUUAAGUUACUACAUUUUGGAAACCUUGUACAAACAAAUUUUAGUAAAUGACCCAAGUGUAAAAACAUAAAUAGAGACCAAGGAUUAGGUAUAGAACUAUUACAUAACUGUAUUAAAAUGGUUAUCGUUUUGGCAAAUCAGGUUACUGAUGUGUAUAUACAUAAUUAUUCUAUUAAUACAUACAUCUUUUUUUUAUAUUUCUAUGGUUUAUUUUAAAUAUUUUAAAAAGUAAAAGUGGUAUUUAUUUAGAAAUACAAACUCGUUUUCUUAAUUUUUCAUGAAUUUCAUAGGGUUUUAUGAUAUACCUAUGUUUACACGUACUGCUUAAUGCACUUCAAAGAUUUUUAAUCAUAAGUGCUGUUUUCCUGUUGCUUACUUCCUUUUAAAAUAAAUCGAAAACCUACAUAACAAACAAGGAAUAUUUGCCAAUUAGACCGCCGUCAGUAUGGUCGAUAGGGGGAGAGGAAAAGCAACAAUCGUAUUAAUUGCCAAUGCGAAUUGCAAUAUAUGCAAUAUUGCAAUAUCAUUAGGCCAGAUAAGCCGGGCAAAGCUAAAGCGCAGAGAAAUAGCAAAUUUGUUUUAACUCGCUUUGUAGUAUAAAUGCAGGGAGGGCCACCUACCGUAUUUCAGUAACUUUGUCAACGUUUUUAACCCGAGCCAAGGUAAACUUAAUUAACUUUUUGCCGCUGGAGUGCAACAAUAAACAAUUUUUUCAGCUUUUGGCUGCGCCCGAGCAAGAAUCGCAAUUACGGAAGAUAACAGUCAAGUGCAGAUUUCCCCCUCUUUUAUUCAUACAGAUAUAAAUUGCUAAGAAAAUGUAAACUGGAAAGCAAAAUGGUUGUGUAUUUGUCAUGGCGGUCUGUGGCCCAUGCUUGAGUCACGACUAGAGCUAGCCGACAUUAACCAAGAUUUGUUGCCGCUUAUAGUGAGGCGUUUGUCACGGCUUUGCGCUGCUUCUUUUAAUUAAAAAAGUUCAAGUCGAAUGCAAUUACCAGGAGGUGAAGCAAAACUGCAUAGCAACUCCUAAACUAUGAACAUUGUCAGAACCUCAAGCAAUGGCUGACUAAAAAGUUUAACAUUUACUGGACCUAUUUAAAUUAAUUGCAAAUAUUUGUAUCUUCAAUAUAAAAGUGACUAAUUUUUUUCAUGCUGAAAUAGCUGAUUGACGCAGACGAACUAACAUAUUGAAAUACCACCACUCAGAAGGUGUAGUUAACUCCGCUUCUUUUGUUCUAAUAUGCAAAAAAAGGAUAAAUACCAUCAAGGAUGAACACAAUCAAUUUUAUAAAAGAAAACUCUUCCAGUCUCACUGUGUUGUCCCUAAAUUAUGCAAUGCAAGGAAGCACGCAUAAGACAGAGAAGGCCAAAAGAGAGAUGUACUGAGACUCCAGAGCCAACACCUAUGCAUAAAUAAUGAAAACACACACGGGACACACUCGCUCACUCCUGCUGAAAUCCGGAUGCAAUGUUUGCUGCUGACGGCUUACAUGUUAAAAGCGUCAGUAUAAUAGCCAAGUAAUAGUAAAAGUGCAAUUGUGAGUUCAAGUAAAUAAAAACUAUUCAAAUAUGCAAAGCACAAUGCAAAAUGAAGAGCUCGAAGUAUAGCCGGGAGCCUUGUUGUAUGUGCCUGUGUCUCAUGCGCAUAAAUUUACUUGUUAAAUCCAGAUUGAUACUUCAUCCCGGGAUGCUCGUCCUCGCUUCAUUCCCCUUAAGCAAAAAUGUAUGGAAAUAGUGAGAGAAUAGUGAAAUAUACAGAUAUUUCCAGCGUACAUAUGUAUUUUACAAAAUCACAGAACUCUAGAAUCGUCUUUCGCGGAAUUUGUCGUUUAAGCCUACACAGUCAGCGUAUUCAGUUAACUCUGUUCACCCGUAAAUCGCCAUCUAAUUCAAGUUUUAAGUUCGAUGAAUUAGUAUAAAUUUGUUAGGUUGUGUUUUUCUUUGUAAUUUUUAUUUUAAGUUAUUCUGUAAUAUGAUUAAUCAGAAUAACCGAAACAAGGAAAAUAGCUUCAAUACGUUAGGCUAAUUUUGUUGCUGUUUAAUAAUGCAUUUUAUAUACAUACACAAAAAAUACAUACCUACAUAUGUUGAGCUAAGCUGCCUCUUGACAAAUAAUCUGACACGUGUGGAAUAAAGAAGAAGCAGAGAUUAAAUUAACCAAUUUUGGUUUUGUUUUGAAAAGUUUAAAAAAGCAACGAGAAAAAUGAAAUUGAAACUGAUGACACAAUGGACUUGUUUCGUAGAGUGCAUUGGACCUGAGAUAACUCUGUGAGAUCUUAAACCGCUCAAAAGCAUUUUAAUUGUCAAGCGGAAUUGAUUUUGAUCAUUAAAAACGCCUAUGAAGUGGAGUAUAAAAAUAUGACCGAAAAACCAGAAAGGCAAGUUUUGGAAAAAUGUCCUUUAAAGGCGGAACGGACGAUGCCACUUACUUGUUUUUGGCAUAGGAGGUCCAGGGUGAGAUAGUAACAGUUAUGAUGUAAAGAUUAAAAAGAAAUACCAUUGCUGCAUCCCGGCAUGGUGAAGGGCUUUCAUGUGUGUGUAUUGCCAGCGGUAGUAAACUAAAUCGCCAUCUAAUUCAAGUUUUAAGUUCGAUGAAUUAGUAUAAAUUUGUUAGGUUGUGUUUUUCUUUGUAAUUUUUAUUUUAAGUUAUUCUGUAAUAUGAUUAAUCAGAAUAACCGAAACAAGGAAAAUAGCUUCAAUACGUUAGGCUAAUUUUGUUGCUGUUUAAUAAUGCAUUUUAUAUACAUACACAAAAAAUACAUACCUACAUAUGUUGAGCUAAGCUGCCUCUUGACAAAUAAUCUGACACGUGUGGAAUAAAGAAGAAGCAGAGAUUAAAUUAACCAAUUUUGGUUUUGUUUUGAAAAGUUUAAAAAAGCAACGAGAAAAAUGAAAUUGAAACUGAUGACACAAUGGACUUGUUUCGUAGAGUGCAUUGGACCUGAGAUAAUUCUGUGAGAUCUUAAACCGCUCAAAAGCAUUUUAAUUGUCAAGCGGAAUUGAUUUUGAUCAUUAAAAACGCCUAUGAAGUGGAGUAUAAAAAUAUGACCGAAAAACCAGAAAGGCAAGUUUUGGAAAAAUGUCCUUUAAAGGCGGAACGGACGAUGCCACUUACUUGUUUUUGGCAUAGGAGGUCCAGGGUGAGAUAGUAACAGUUAUGAUGUAAAGAUUAAAAAGAAAUACCAUUGCUGCAUCCCGGCAUGGUGAAGGGCUUUCAUGUGUGUGUAUUGCCAGCGGUAGUAAACUUUUCUGAAGUUCGUGAAAUAAAAAUUUAUUGACCGACAAGAAUUUAAAAAUUGAAAUAUUUGGCGUCAUAAAAAAUUUCACAUUUAACCAUGUUUACUACCAGACAAGACUAUAUUAGUUUAUUCUUAUACUUGGCACCCAUAUAUGUAUGUACCUAUUAAUAAUUAUUUCCUAAUCUUUACACCCAAUUCGCAUACGGAUUUAAUUAAAUUACUCAUGUAUGAAAACCAAUACAACUAUAUAAUUAUAUAUAUCUAAAUAGUUUUGUUUAAACGUUUAAUUAAAAUGUUUUUAAAAUGAAUUCUUUAAGGGUAUUCAAAAAUCGUCAAAAUAAAAUAUAUGUUCUUCACAGGGAGCACCACACGAUUUGGGACUCGUCAUUGUCGCUAUUGCUGGUUGUUAUGCCCAUAUUGCUGGCAAAUUUGUCCGUAGCGAUGCCCUGAAAAGCAGCGCCAUAAGCGCUACCAAAAGACCGCUUUGUGCGUGGCCGGGCCGGCGUGUAUUAGGGCUGCUAUUCAAUAGUUGGCAGAACCUUCGUUUUUAUGUGUUAUUGCAUAUUUCUGCUUUUUAAUACAGGCCUUUCUGUACCAGACCUCGUACGGGUCACGCCCCCUAUGGCAAACAACGCCCUCGCUUAUUAUUACCCAAUGAACCAUAAUGGGUUAAUGGCGAAUUGAAUCGCGAUUGAAAAGGGCCCGAUGCUGGUGAACACUUCACUUCGUGAGUCGCGUAUAAAAUUCGUAAUUGAAUUAAAUUUAAUGGCAUAUUUGAAAUGCCUUUUAAGAAGGGCGUGAUACUCGACAAAUGUGAAAGCAUUUUUCUUCUCGUCUUUGGUCGUAGCCCGUACAAAAGUGUCGUAACGUGCUAUCGAAUUUAAUUUCAUAAUGGAUUACAAAGCGAAUGUGUAAAAAUAUUGGAAAAUUAUUAUAAGUACUUAUUAGUAAUUAUAAAUUUCUAUUUGCAUUGGGGAAUGUAUAUGGACAUAUUAUUACAUAUUUAUAGUUUACACAUUCGACACUAAAAAAAAGGUCUUAUUUGUAGAUUUCAAGACUUUUCUUGCCAAGGUAAGGUGCUUGGCACUCGAACCCAAGCUCAAGCUUGAAAGUUUCUCUUCAUUAUUUUCUCUGUGAAUAAUUGGAAUAAUAUUUAAUUUAAAACAUUUUAUUUCCAUUAUACAAAUGGCAGAAUGGAACAGAAGCAAACUAAGCACAUAGUGUAUUCUUGCCGCGAGCUCAUUGUCCAACCGAAGAAACCGGAGGAACUCAGACAAAAACUUAAAACUGAGGUCAGAACCAGAAGCAAAAGCAGCUGUUACGUUUCCUGGAGCUGAAUACGGAUACGGAUACAGAGCUGUGCAACUGUUACCCAGUAGCUGUUUAAAAAUUAUUAAAUGAAAAAGAAAUUAAAGAAACAAUGCUAGAAAAUGACUUCAGCUGAACAGCAGAACAAAGUUAAGCAUUUGAUGAAACCCAGACAAGCGUGAAAUGAUAAAAUAAUAUCUGAAGUAGGGUAUGAAGCAAGUGCUGGGACAGAAAAUAGAUAUUUUUAUCGAAUAAAAAAACACAAAAUAUUAAUUAAGGUUUUUAUUUACUUUAAAUGUAAUAUUCGCAUAGUUCCAUAAAUCGUAUUAAAUAAAUUGUAGUUAAUUUUUAAAAUUAUCAGUUUUAAGCUUCAAUAGAAGCCACAUACCCUUACACCGAUUAAAAAAAGUUUAGCGAAGCGCUUAUUUAGUCUACCUGCCCCGAGUGCUUUGGUUGAGGUUGUUGCUUUGGCAAAGUAAAUUGCCUCAAUCAUUUACCAUCAUCUGAAAAGGAGAUAAGCAGAUCUGGGCCAUGCUAAAAGUUAGAAGCACCCUCCAAUGCCAAUAUAAUUGUCAGUGUUAAUUGAAAAAGUUGCCGUUGCUGAUGCAGCUGUUGCCGCCGCUGCUUAAUUUGCAUUAGUUUCAAGUAGAUCUGUGAUUGCGUUCUCAAAGUGUCCUGUUUGGUAAGCACAAGCAAAUGGAGAAUCACAUUUGCCAGAAUCCACUUGAAGCAUAUAAUCCCUGCAUUGCCCUUCAAGCCGAACUCAACCGAAACGACAGUGCAACAGUACUUUGUAUUAACCCAUUGUUGUGCUGAUUAUUGGUUUUGCUGUAUUAGUUGCCAUUAUGCAUGUCCAUAAUAUGCAAUUAAUUAAUGUUCAAUGCAAAUUACAGUCUGCAAUCUGACGAGCAGCAACAUCAAUCAGUUUGAAUGGAACCCUUGCCCUAACUUCGUCUCGAUAAUCAAGAAAAUAAAUUCCAAAAUGGCAAGUCUUACGUUCUUAGCAGCUGUUGGAAAUUCUGCAUAAAUUAUAAUUGAAUUAGCAGACGCAAUUGAAUCGAUUUGAUGAGAAAACUCAUUGAUUUACAAGUCCCGUUUCAGAGGGAAGGGUCUCUAACCAAACAAAAUUAAUCUACACAUGCAAUACGCAAAAGGCUUUAAGAAGAUUUCAACCCCGAAUCCAAACAAAUUUGAUGCCUUGCUGGCCUCAAUGAAUACAUCCAAAUAUUUCUUCAGGCCACACUGUAGAAUACCUAAUUAAUUGAAACUAUAGAUUUGCCAUCCCCGCAGAUGAUCUAUACAAUCUUGAGUGGCAAUAACAGCCUUACAACACGUGUGGUGAAGUGUAAGUUUCAUAACCCAGCUCCGGAAUCUAAAGCCAGCAUGAAAACCAGUUUGUGGAUGAGCAAAAAGGUGAAUAAACUUGUCUAUCAGUAAUCUGUUUCUUGGGCUAGAUGAGAAGCCAGUCCUCGGCUUUGUAAAUGAGUAUUCAGUUUCAACGAAACUACAAAACAUCUUACAGGGGAGGCAGCUCCGAAAAAAUUAAAUCGCGACCUCUCUGGUACAUCAGCGUUGUACAACUUUGACUCCUUCCUGCUUGGUUUUGCGUUUUACGCAGAACCUUUUGCAGUGCAUCCAUCUCUAGCACACACUGACUGACCCCUCUUCGACUUGUUUUGGCAAACAACUAAAUUAUAUAAACGACGUCGACUGAAAUUGAACGCCUUUGGUUAUUUGCGUGAAGUUUAAUGGAAUUUUCAACAGUUUUUGCAACAGCCGCACGGAGCACAACCCGAAUCUCACAACAAGAUGCCACUUCCACCCAAAGUAGCCCUUCAUCCGGUGUUUGUUUGCCGGGGCAUGCUGCCUGGCAUAUGCAGAGAUGAGUUUUUAAACUUUGUGCGGCCGCCAGUUUUGUAAUUGACAAAUGGAAUUUGUUUGCCAUUUGGGAGAACAACUUUGCAUCUUUCCCGUCCUAUCCUAUGAAAGUAGCUAUUUCAUUGCUCAUUCUUAAAUACCUAUACAUUUCAGUCAUAAAAAAAGGUGGAUUGUGGUACAAUACCUUUCUGGAAAUAGCUUAUCAUUAAGAAUUCGAUUUCAAUCGGAUCGUACCAUAUUCAUAGCACAACUCCCCACUAGUUCACUACCAACGAACGAAAUGGUGAAUUCAUCCCAAGUCUUUAUCGUUGCCUUGCUGGGUCUUACGGCUGUUAGCGCUACCCCAGUGGUGCAACAGGCGGCUAGCGCAAAGUUUACCUCGGGCAUUUAAGAGCAUUAUGCCCUGUGGAUACGGAGAUCUUCCCGUAAUUUCGCCCAUUGUUAGCCCCUUUUACGAAUUCGAGCACAUCAGCGAAGACUACACAGUUGUUGGCAAUGUAACAAACAUCCGUAUCCAAGAUAGCUAGAUAGCUUCCAGGUCCUUAGUGCCAGCGACUAUGGUAAAACUGGGGAGGCCGCAUAUGACGUGAUUUUUCCUAUAAUUCAAGUCCUUGGUUUUGCGGAAAUCGAUGGUUUUAUCAAUAUCAGAGGAUUUAAGGUGCCGAUCAGGCAAAACGAUAAAUUACGUGUAGAGCUAAAUUAAAAAUAAUUUUUCGGGCAGCAAACCGAACAAUUAUUUUAUUCCCUGUAAAAAGUUUGCUAAAAAAAAACUUUUAAGAGGUGCCCAAAGCUAGAUUAAGACCAUUACCUUUACCGAAUUUUUGUAAACAGUAAUGAAUUAAAAUAUUCAGGUGUACACAUUUUAUUUCAGUCCUUGAAAUGAGAACUCACAGACCAAGCGCAAAUUCAUGUCCCACUUUUCCGUAUUUUAAUGGACCAAAUUAACAUAAAAUAAAAUGACAGCUCCCUUAUUCGCCUCUCGUAAGCCCAUUUAAUUUGUCAAAAUAAUGACAAGGUUUCAGCAGGCACUUUUGGGAUUCGCACAAACAGAAAAACCUUCAGCCUAACAAGGUCAGAUAGAACUACCUAUUUGCUUUGAAGUUUCCGAUACUAUGCUCUCUUACUCGCUCCCACAAUAUAUUCGCAAGAUAUUGUGCCUUUUUAAUUUGAUCCGAGCACACGAGGGAUGGGUAAGCGGACUGGGAGAUAACUUAAAAGUCAUGAUGGGUAUUAAGCGUCCAACCCUUCGUUUCUUGCACACACGUGCACCACACAUACGAGCCCCCAGCUAAAUAUGUUAGCAGUCGGUUGGGUCGACAAACCCUUAUCAAAAUAUUUAUAUGACUUCACAUAUGCUAAACGCAGAGACUGCUUGAACAGAGCUUCUGAAGCGACCAACCACCGCCGUUGUAUGUAUGAAAAAAUGCUUAAUGGUCUGUAAUCUGCUUAAAACUUGGACACGAGCUCAAUUUAGCAAACGGCAACCACGAACCAAACUGGAAAGGGCCAAAGAAUAGGGUCACUUUAAGCUGCUCGUCAAAUUAUUCGGUUAUAUUGUGCGGAAGGCUGGCUUUUCCAGUGCCCUUUUUUAAUUUAUGAUCUGCACAAUGAAAAAAUCAUAAGCUCUUAUAAAAUUGCACUUUUAAUUAAUGCCAACACAUAUUUACGUAUAUCUCAAAAAUCAUUCAAAAAGAUACAAAAAGGUUUAUAUUCAGACUCCGCCCCAAAAUUCAAUUCUCAUUCUUUUAGCUUUGGUGCGUGUUCAUGCAAUAAAUACAACAAAAUCCAUGACUUACUGUAAUGUGCAAUCAUAAUUAAUGAUCAUUAUAAUCAAUGCCUUCUUAAUUCUUAUGUAUAUCGCAUCAAUCAAUGGAGAAGGAACACAUUCAAACAGCUUCAAGGGGCGGUUUCGCAGUUACGGGGAGUUGAGGACAACUACCACAAUGCACACAUAAUAACUUCAAUCCGAAGAGAAGACAACUGCUGAGGGCCACCGAAUCACAUUCAUUAACUCGCCACAAUCGCUGCCACAACAGUUGCCAAUAUCAAGAUUACAACGGCAAUGACGGAACUGAAUUUUGUGGGCUCAAACAUGAAAUGCUAAUUGUAGUGGGAAAAUUUGAGACCUUGAGAAAAUCGACGGCUCGAAAUCUGAGCAUAGGAAAUUAUAUGCACAACCAAACUAUGCAGCGAUGAAAAUCCAAAAUUAGUAAACAAUUGGAAACAGUGCACCUUUUUACUAGAUAAAUUAAUAACACGGAACUAAACAUUUUUUAAGAAUAAACACUGAAAAGCUACAUGUCGAGGAAGUCUGAGUCUAGAUCAAAAUGCAAAGCAUCCAACUUUUAGUAAAUAACUAAGCCUGCGGAGUCAUAAAACGCUAUCGAAGAAGAAGAAGUUAGAAGUCUGCCCCCUUUUUUAACCAUUAUUAAACUUCAAUAAGCCAACCACCAAGUGCCAGAACGACAGCAAUCCAAAAAAUAUAAGGCAAACAUAAAAUCCAUUUGUGUAUGUUUACCUGCAUUCAAAUUAACGUACCCACACAAUCCAACAUGCGUAGUAGUAUAAAAAUUUAAAAAGAGGGGUGGCACUGAGGGUGGCGCUGAGAAGCAGCAAACCAAAGCCAAGCAAGCAAAGCCAGCAGAAUGCUGGUAGCAAUAUUUCUAAUCUAAUUUCAGCAAAGUUGAGGGGAGAAAAAAUUAAAAGAAAAUACUCGCAAACAGAGCGGGCAAGCGAAAUGCAAAAUAAGAAAAAAUAAAAUGAAUAGGGUGAAUACCCACGCAAAGAAUGACGAAAUCACAACAAUGCAGCAGAGGCACGAGCCACAAACGCACAGGUAAAAUGUAAGGAAAACUUUAAGGACAAGCUUGGAGCGGGAGAAAGGCAGCACCCUGGAGAGCGGCAGGAGAAGAAUGUCGAAUGUCGCUAAAUGAAAUUAGAAACGCAUAAAAGAAUAACACAAUCUGCCAAGGGAGAAGAAAACUGCUUUUACUGGAGCCGAACUUAUAAGGAGCACUGUAAAACGGGCACCCAAAAUUUGUUUAACUUAAAGUUUAGUUAUACAAAAUACUAUGUACAUCUUUCACCUUUUUCUUAAGUGAUUAAGUACAUCAAUCAAUUGUGUUUUACGCGCACGUUUUCCGAUUUGUUGUUUAAAGUUUAAUGGAUGCGCUUACAAUUAUGUAGAUCAAAAACCGAUCUAUGUUAAUAUUUCUUUUAAUUGUGGUCUUUUUGCUCGAUUCGAUAGAUUCGAAUUUUUUAAUUGUUUUUUUCACUGUUGGGUAAACCAGGGAAGCAGAUGUUGACAAGAGGUAUUUGACUGCCCUCCUCGCUUUGAUCCAAAAAAUAAAUAAGUCCUAAGGAAUUUGGAUCUGGAAAGGUGUAAUAAAAAUCUUCGCCCUUGCAAAACAAAAAGAAAUGCACAGCAACAUAAAAUAAUAAACAUAAUUUCGCCUUUGUCGUCUCAUUUCAUUAUUAACAGGCAAAUGCGUUGAAUUUCAUUAAAAGUUAUGUUUCGCUCCGGCAUUGUUGGCCUUGUUGCACGCACAAUCAAAGUUCUUAACGUCUGUUGUAUGCCUUCAGGCGACAGCAACUGAAAUUAGCAACGUGCUCUGGCCAUGGAGAAAUCUCUACUGCUCGAGCGGAGGCGGUGGUAAACAGGGUUUGUAAGCCAUUUAGCUGCACUGACAUUUGCCGCAGGUGAGCCAUGAAAACGGAACCAAAUCAAACCGAACUGAAUCAUGCCGAGAGCCAACCGAAGGCUAACAAAGCCAACUAAACUAAAUGUUAAUCUUGUUGUCCGCUGCCCCCUACUUCCUUCCCUCACACAAUCCUCACCACCAAAGCCGGCACACAUCUCCACUCCACUUAAAGCCUUUGACGCGUUCCAUGCCCACAAAGUCAAGCAACAUGUUUGACAAGUGACAGCCGUAUCGCAGCAGGCUACCGUAGGACGGCAACAAUGGGCGUGGCAGCGGCACAACGUCCCAGCUCGAUUUUAAUAUUGAAGGCAGAUGUCCGAAGAUAAUGGUUUAAAAGAUAUAAAAACCGGAUCCCGUGUAUUACCCAAGCCAAAACUAGCCUAACUACAAUAUAUACAUACUCACAUACUUAAUAAAACUAAAAAUAUAUGAUCCAGUAGUGUU
rnacentral:lncRNA from 1 species